rnacentral:rRNA from 1 species
CUACGGGCCGCAGCAGUGAGGAAUAUUGCACAAUGGGGGAAACCCUGAUGCAGCAACGCCGCGUGGAGGAUGACGCAUUUCGGUGUGUAAACUCCUUUUAUGAGUCAAGAAAAUGACGGUAGCUCAUGAAUAAGCACCGGCUAACUCCGUGCCAGCAGCCGCGGUAAUACGGAGGGUGCAAGCGUUACUCGGAAUCACUGGGCGUAAAGGACGCGUAGGCGGGAUGUCAAGUCAGGUGUGAAAUCCUAUGGCUCAACCAUAGAACUGCACUUGAAACUGGCAACCUAGAGUAUGGGAGGGGGAGAUGGAAUUAGUGGUGUAGGGGUAAAAUCCGUAGAUAUCACUAGGAAUACCGAAAGCGAAGGCGAUCUCCUGGAACAAUACUGACGCUAAGGCGUGAAAGCGUGGGGAGCAAACAGGAUUAGAUACCCUCGUAGUC